AACGAACGCUGGCGGCAUGCCUAACACAUGCAAGUCGAACGGUCUUGCUGACUUCGGUUGGUAUAGAUAGUGGCGGACGGGUGAGUAACGCGUGGGAACUUGCCCUGGAGUGGGGAACAACUGCUGGAAACGGCAGCUAAUACCGCAUACGCCCCUUAGGGGGGAAAGCUUUAUGCGCUCCGGGAGAGUCCCGCGUCCGAUUAGUUAGUUGGUGAGGUAACGGCUCACCAAGACGUCGAUCGGUAGCUGGUCUGAGAGGAUGAUCAGCCACACUGGGACUGAGACACGGCCCAGACUCCUACGGGAGGCAGCAGUGGGGAAUAUUGGACAAUGGGGGCAACCCUGAUCCAGCAAUGCCGCGUGCGUGAAGAAGGCCUUAGGGUUGUAAAGCGCUUUCGCUCGCGACGAUGAUGACGGUAGCGAGAGAAGAAGCCCCGGCUAACUCCG
rnacentral:rRNA from 1 species